rnacentral:rRNA from 1 species
GAUGAACGCUGGCGGCGUGCCUAAUACAUGCAAGUCGAGCGAACAGACGAGGAGCUUGCUCCUCUGACGUUAGCGGAGGACGGGUGAGUAACACGUGGAUAACCUACCUAUAAGACUGGGAAAACUUCGGGAAACCGGAGCUAAUACCGGAUAAUAUAUUGAACCGCAUGGUUCAAUAGUGAAAGACGGUUUUGCUGUCACUUAUAGAUGGAUCCGCGCCGCAUUAGCUAGUUGGUAAGGUAACGGCUUACGAAGGCAACGAUGCGUAGCCGACCUGAGAGGGUGAUCGGCCACACUGGAACUGAGACACGGUCCAGACUCCUACGGGAGGCAGCAGUAGGGAAUCUUCCGCAAUGGGCGAAAGCUUUACGGAGCAACGCCGCGUGAGUGAUGAAGGUCUUCGGAUCGUAAAACUCUGUUAUUAGGGAAGAACAAAUGUGUAAGUAACUAUGCACGUCUUGACGGUACCUAAUCAGAAAGCCACGGCUAACUACGUG